CCAAUAGCGUAUAUUAAAGUUGUUGCAGUUAAAAAGCUCGUAGUUGAAUUUCGGGGUUCAUCCGUUGGUCGGGCUUUUUUGGUCUGUACUGGCGUGAUGGAUUCCUACCUUCUGAAUAACCAGCAUGUCAUUAAUUUGGUGCGCUGGGGAAGCAGGACUGUUACCUUGAAAAAAUUAGAGUGCUUAAAGCAGGCUAUCGCCUGAAUACAUUAGCAUGGAAUAAUGAAAUAGGACGGCAUGGUUCUAUUUUGUUGGUUUCUAGGAUCACCGUAAUGAUUAAUAGGGAUAGUUGGGGGCAUUAGUAUUCAAUUGUCAGAGGUGAAAUUCUUGGAUUUAUUGAAGACUAACUUCUGCGAAAGCAUUUGCCAAGGAUGUUUUCAUUAAUCAAGAACGAAAGUUAGGGGAUCGAAGGCGAUCAGAUACCGUCGUAGUCUUAACCAUAAACUAUGCCGACUAGGGAUCGGACGAUGUUAAUUUUUUAAUGACUCGUUCGGCGCCUUACG
rnacentral:rRNA from 1 species